GAUGAACGCUAGCUACAGGCUUAACACAUGCAAGUCGAGGGGAAACGGCAUUAAGUGCUUGCACUUUUUGGACGUCGACCGGCGCACGGGUGAGUAACGCGUAUCCAACCUUCCCAUGACUAAGGGAUAACCUGCCGAAAGGCAGACUAAUACCUUAUGGUCUUCACUGACGGCAUCAGAUGUGAAGUAAAGAUUUAUCGGUUAUGGAUGGGGAUGCGUCUGAUUAGUUAGUUGGCGGGGUAACGGCCCACCAAGGCAACGAUCAGUAGGGGUUCUGAGAGGAAGGUCACCCACAUUGGAACUGAGACACGGCCCAAACUCCUACGGGAGGCAGCAGUGAGGAAUAUUGGUCAAUGGGCGAGAGCCUGAACCAGCCAAGUAGCGUGCAGGAUGACGGCCCUAUGGGUUGUAAACUGCUUUUGUAUGGGGAUAAAGUCAAUCACGUGUGAUUGUUUGCAGGUACCAUACGAAUAAGGACCGGCUAAUUCCGUGCCAGCAGCCGCGGUAAUACGGAAGGUCCGGGCGUUAUCCGGAUUUAUUGGGUUUAAAGGGAGCGUAGGCUGGAGAUUAAGUGUGUUGUGAAAUGUAGACGCUCAACGUCUGACUUGCAGCGCAUACUGGUUUCCUUGAGUACGCACAACGUUGGCGGAAUUCGUCGUGUAGCGGUGAAAUGCUUAGAUAUGACGAAGAACUCCGNUUGCGAAGGCAGCUGACGGGAGCGCAACUGACGCUGAAGCUCGAAGGUGCGGGUAUCNAACAGG
rnacentral:rRNA from 1 species